rnacentral:misc_RNA from 1 species
AUAUUUUGAAUUAAGUAUAUUCAUAAUAUUUUUCAGACAAAGAGUUAAAAGAUAAAGGUUGAUGUUUGGUCGAUCUCCAAGAAGAAGAUCGACUGACAUUGCACACAAGGUGGAUAUGGAUUUAAAAAGUGCCAUAAAACACUUAUUAUGAAUGAUCCUUCCGCAGGUUCACCUACGGAAA